CUUCCUUCCUUCCCUUCCUCCUUUCUUCCUUUUUUAUCUUUCUCCUUUCCUUUCUUCCUCCUUUAAUUCCCUCCUUCCUUCCUUCAUCAAAUGUUUGCUGCACUGCUAACAGAGUCCAUGCUGUGCUUGGUGCGGACAAUUCUGUAGCGAACAGUGCGACAGAUAACUGGUGCUGCCUUCAGCAAGCCUACAAUCUAGCAGGCAGCCUGCAGUGAAUCGGCCACUACAUAACUCAGCACCCUCUUCCAGAGGCCAUCUCUCUCUCCAGUGGCCCCAACUGUAGCCGCUCUCGAGCCUCCGCCAUCAAACUGUGUCCUUAAGAAAAUCAUUGUUUUCUCCCCACCAGAGGAGAGAGCCGCUAAGUGCUCUGACCCCCUUGCUUCCAGCACGUUCAUACGAAUUGGGAUUUGGUGGCCUCACACGCAUAGGCUCACGAUCCUCACAGGGGACAGGGAAGACGCCACGAUCUGCAUUUUACCGACAGGAGGCGCAGGAACUUGCCGGAGAUCGCAGAGCAGGAAAGCCUAAAAGAACAUCUUGUGUCCCAGAAAUCAAGGACUGUACAAUGGGAACAGAAAACUCCAGCUGGUGGAAUCAUGUGGCCCUCAGAAAAUGCCUUCCAACUUCUAGCCUGAGAUCCUGGGAAUCUUCUCCACUGUCACAGACCUUCUGUGAGAAGGGGGGACGCUUCCCAGCUCCACGUCCCUGAUGUGGCUGCCAUGUCCUGGGGCAGAGGCCAGUGAGGAGAAGCAGCUGGGUGUAGGCGGCCAGGCCCUGGGGGCUAGAGGGGGCAGAGUCCAUUCCCAGAGCUCCUUUCAGAGUCCGCUCCCUGUCCAUGUCCUCUGAGGGCCCAGGGGUGGGCCUCCUUGCCUUUGCCUUCUUGAAGUUUCCUUGGCCGGGAGCAGUGGCUCACGCCUGUAAUCCCAGCACUUUGGGAGGCCGAGGCUGGUGGAUCACUUGAGGUCAGGAGAUAAGGACCAGCCUGGCCAGCAUGGUGAAACCUCGUCUCUACUAAAAAAAAAUACAAAAAUUAGCCGGGUGUGGUGGCGCGUGCCUGUAAUUCCAGCUACUCAGGAAGCUGAGGCAGGAAAAUCGCUUGAGCCUGGGAGGCAGAGGUUGCCGUGAGCUGAGAUCACGCCACUGCACUCCAGCCUGGGUGACAGAGUGAGACCCUGUCUCAAAAAAAAAAAAAAAAAAAAGUUUCCUAAGUCUUUGAUUCUUAGGACAAAGUGGUAAACAGACUGGGGAUUUAAAAAAAAAAAAAAAAGACUCCCAUGUGAUGGCGGGGUGGAAGGUGGAAUGCUCACUUUUCAGGUACUGGCCUUCUCAGGAAAGACCAAGACCAACAUAGAGAAGGAUGGUGGAUUUCUGGGUAUACAAAAGACCAAACAAAUCCAGAUCAUCAAGGUUAGACCCCUUGCAUUUGUGGUUGGCUUCAGUUGAGAUGAUUCCCAAGAGCUUACAUAAUAAACUUUACUUUUUUAAAAAGCAUAUUUUCAUUGAUCUUGCCAUGAUAUAAGCAAGCUAUAUCUUAUACACUUAUCUAUAUCUAUGUAAGAUAUACCAUUACCCUUUUCUUUUUUAAUACAGGGUCUUGCUCUGUCACCCAGUCUGGAGUACAGUGGCUCGAUCCUAGCUCACUGCAACCUCAAACUUCUGGGCCCAAGUAAUCCUGCUACCUCAGCCUCCCAAAGUGCUGGGAUUACAGGCAUGAGCCACCAUGCCCAGCCUCAAUAUUUUAAAAGUUUAUAUUUUACAAAAGGCUUUCACAUCCAUAUGAUUUAAUUUGAGGUAGAGAGAGUAUUAUUUCUGUUUUAUUGCUGAGGAAACUGCCUGAAUCACUUAACUAGUUGGUUGGGAAGCCAGGUCCUCUGUACUGAAUCUUGUGCCCUUGCUGUUUUUAGAGGCUGAUUAAUCCCUGAAAGGGAGAUGGGACACACAGAACCCUCUAGCUGAAAUGAAUCUCCAGAGAAUGUCUGGUUUUCUCCCUGGCUCUAGACUCUACUAAAUUCUAAAAACAUCUAAAUGCUCUUCUUUUCUUAAACUUCUCUGGGGAAUGAAAUCUAUCCUCUCAGUUACCUGUCCCAGCAACAAAUAGCCACUCUGUUUAGAAAUCCAUGCUGUAAGGCUGGGCGCGG
rnacentral:lncRNA from 1 species